GUAGUNGGGAWKCAUAUCUUCGGUCGAUUCUCAAACUUUAAAUACGCAAGAUAGAGGUGGUUGCUUAGUUGAACCUCUCUACUGAAAACGUCGGCCCUGUGGGCCACUUUUGGUAAGCAGAACUGGCGAUAUGGGAUGAACCAUAAGUUUGGUUAAGGCGUCAAAAUACCCGCUUAAAGAUCCCACAAAAGGUGUUGGUUCAUCUAGACAGCAGGACGGUGGCCAUGGAAGUCGGAAUCCGCUAAGGAGUGUGUAACAACUCACCUGCCGAAUGAACUAGCCCUGAAAAUGGAUGACGCUUAAGCGGGUUGCCGACACCAGACCGUUUCGAUAAGAAGCGAUCGAAAUGAGUAGGAGGGCGUGGCGGUUUUGUUGAGAAGGAUGAGACGCAAGUCUAUCUGAAACGGCCGCUAGUGCAGAUCUUGGUGGUAGUAGCAAAUAUUCAAGCGAGAUCCUUGAAGGGCGAAGCGGGGAAGGGUUCCACGCGAACAUUGAUUGGGCGUGGGUGAGUCGUUCCUAAGCCGGGUGGUAAUCGUUCUUCGAUCGGCGAAAGGGAAGCGGGUUAAAAUUCUCGCACACGGAUGUGGAGGCGGUGACGCAAAUUGAGGUGGAGACGUUAGCGGUGGCACUGGGCAGAGUUUUCUUUUCUGUUUAACCUGUGAGUGCACUCUGUGGAAUCCGAUUAUCGGGCGAAACAGGUGCUUAUGGGAAGAGCGUCGGGGCGUCCCCGGCGUCCAGUACGCCACCGAUAGCCCUUGAAAAUCCAUCUGCAAUGAAAUUUCACGCCGUGGCGUACCGAUAACCGCAUCAGGUCCCCAAGGUGAACAGCCUCUGCUCAAUAUGAACAAUGCAGGUAAGGGAAGUCGGCAAAAUAGACCCGUAACUUUGGGAAAAGGGUUGGCUCUAGUGGGGUGAAGGAUUACCCUGAGUCAUUGGGAUUUGUCCGAGUUUGUAUCGGGCGGA
rnacentral:rRNA from 1 species